rnacentral:miRNA from 1 species
UUGAAAUUUUUUCUAUUUUCGGU